AUGAGGGGAGAUCGCACCAACGAUCCUGUGAACAUUAGCUCUGAUGAGAGCCCGGAUAGCAGCUCUGAUGAAGGUCUACACAUGAGCUCUGAUGAACGUGUGUACACCAGCUCUGAUGAAGUUGUGGACACGAGCUCUGAUGAACGCGCGUACACCAGCUCUGAUGAUGGCGUCGACACGAGCUCUGAUGAAGGCAUGUACUACCGUAUGAAGAAAAAGAAGCUUCAGAAGACAUGCAAGGAUGUGAGUGACUGCCCUAGGGAGUAUUCAAUUGGAUAUGUUCCUAAUUCUGAAGCCGACUGGAUGCAUUCAAAGAAAUUUAUGAUGUCAAUGUGUGCUCGAAAGCAUCUUAGUUGCUAUGUCUGUUCUAUUAAGCCUGCUAUUAGGCACUAUGUGUGUGAGAUGAACAAGACUUUUACAAAAGCUCGGCAGAGAAUGUAUUUCUCUACUUUGUUCACUGAGAAGCACCUGAUGAAGUUUCUCUCUACUCUGGUCGAUCGAAUGCGGAUUAAUCUUUCACCUGGGCGUUGUUUAAUCUAUGUUCGAUUGAUGAAAGGGGUUGACAACAGGGCUGCUAUAACACAUAACUAG
rnacentral:rRNA from 1 species